UGCUGCUUCGCUGACGAGUGGCGGACGGGUGAGUAAUGUCUGGGAAACUGCCUGAUGGAGGGGGAUAACUACUGGAAACGGUGGCUAAUACCGCAUAACGUCGCAAGACCAAAGAGGGGGACCUUCGGGCCUCUUGCCAUCAGAUGUGCCCAGAUGGGAUUAGCUUGUUGGUGAGGUAACGGCUCACCAAGGCGACGAUCCCUAGCUGGUCUGAGAGGAUGACCAGCCACACUGGAACUGAGACACGGUCCAGACUCCUACGGGAGGCAGCAGUGGGGAAUAUUGCACAAUGGGCGCAAGCCUGAUGCAGCCAUGCCGCGUGUAUGAAGAAGGCCUUCGGGUUGUAAAGUACUUUCAGCGGGGAGGAAGGUGUUGUGGUUAAUAACCGCAGCAAUUGACGUUACCCGCAGAAGAAGCACCGGCUAACUCCGUGCCAGCAGCCGCGGUAAUACGCAGGGUGCAAGCGUUAAUCGGAAUUACUGGGCGUAAAGCGCACGCAGGCGGUCUGUCAAGUCGGAUGUGAAAUCCCCGGGCUCAACCUGGGAACUGCAUUCGAAACUGGCAGGCUUGAGUCUUGUAGAGGGGGGUAGAAUUCCAGGUGUAGCGGUGAAAUGCGUAGAGAUCUGGAGGAAUACCGGUGGCGAAGGCGGCCCCCUGGACAAAGACUGACGCUCAGGUGCGAAAGCGUGGGGAGCAAACAGGAUUAGAUACCCUGGUAGUCCACGCCGUAAACGAUGUCUACUUGGAGGUUGUGCCCUUGAGGCGUGGCUUCC
rnacentral:rRNA from 1 species